rnacentral:tRNA from 1 species
GGAGACAGCUCAAUGGUAGAGUGCAUGCUUAGCAUGCACAAGUCCUGGGUUCAAUCCCCAGUGCCUCCA